CAGAAAAAAGCAUUGUAGAUGCGUUUCACUUACACUGAAAAUAAACUUUAUAGAGAGUUUUUCUGA
rnacentral:tRNA from 1 species